CGGGAAGUGGGCGUCGCCCGGCGGCAGAGCAACCCCGGGUGGGCGCGAAGUUGUAGGUGCCGAGAGGGAUAGCGUCUCGUGCCACUCUGAGCCGUCCACCUUCCUUAAGUCAUCGGAGGAGUUACCGACCAGGAGAACCGUAAGGCCCAAGAGAGGUGCACAGAACCUGGCUGACCGCAUCUUUUCAUCUGGGCCGCGCCCAAACCCUGUGCCCUCAAGAUGAGGAAGACAAAACCAGGUUCGGGGCGCAGGAGGCUGGGGACCCUCGUUAAGGCGCCCAUGUCCCCGCACGCCUUAGCUCCUUAGCUUUGCCUGAAGGGUAGGUGACGUCAGUCUUCCCUGGAAUGAGCUCCUUAUGCAGUCUUUUUCUACAGGGUAUAACUGGAACGCAAGAGGCCUGGUCACAAAAGCAGUCCCUUUUGGGACUGAGGAGAUAACCCAGCUGUCUUACUGCCUGCCAGCCUUUUCCAUUUAAACAACCAGCCUCCUGUGCUCAGUUCCUCAGAACGUUUGUGCUGUCUGAUCGAAUAUAGUGUUACCUCAUCCCAGAAUUACCUAUAAAAGCCUAGUAAGAUUUUUAAUGGUGUAAUUCUCUGUCCUUCGACAGAAACAAAAAUACAAUUAAGAUCAGCACUUGGAAGGCUGAGGCAGGAGAAUUGCCAUGAGUUAGAAACCAGCCUGAAUCACAAAGUAAGACUCUAUCUCAAAAAGCA